ensembl:miRNA
GCUGAUCAGUAGUGGGAUCGUGCCUGUGAAUAGCCACUGCACUCCAGCCUGGGCAACACAGCGAGAACCCGUCUCUUU